AAUGCUGAAGCCUCAGGAGAGAUGAGUGAACCCACAGAAGAGGAGGGAAGGGAGCCAGCAGGGAGGGAAGAGGAAGGAGGCUUGGGCACCCUCUGCCGCAAAGCUUCGACAGAGCAGGGGCAGCGUGGUCGGAAGACAGAGCGAAGCUGGUGCGGAAGGGACAGCAGGGUCUCGACACAACCAGGUCUGGUUGGCUGAGCAGCCCUUGUAUUUCAUUCCGCUUUCCUGACAGAUUUGUGGUUGUCUGUUCUCAUUUUAUUUCAGCCCGUAUGCUUUAAAUAGACGGAGUUCAUUGCUGAGCGAUUCCUUGGGUGGUCUCACCUUGGAGUCUUCAACUGCUGUCCAGGUCUCGUGUUUUACAAGCUGCAGGGAGAGCUGCCGGCGCAGAGAAUCCAAGCAGGAAGUGAGUGUUCGGGAGAUGAGCACCCUAAAGGGAUCAGCGAAGUGCUCUCGGUUACAG
ensembl:lncRNA